rnacentral:rRNA from 1 species
AUUGAACGCUGGCGGCAUGCCUUACACAUGCAAGUCGAACGGUAACGCGGGGCAACCUGGCGACGAGUGGCGAACGGGUGAGUAAUGCAUCGGAACGUGCCCAGUUGUGGGGGAUAACUGCUCGAAAGAGCAGCUAAUACCGCAUGCGACCUGAGGGUGAAAGCGGGGGAUCGCAAGACCUCGCGCAAUUGGAGCGGCCGAUGUCGGAUUAGCUAGUUGGUGGGGUAAAGGCCCACCAAGGCGACGAUCCGUAGCUGGUCUGAGAGGACGACCAGCCACACUGGGACUGAGACACGGCCCAGACUCCUACGGGAGGCAGCAGUGGGGAAUUUUGGACAAUGGACGCAAGUCUGAUCCAGCCAUGCCGCGUGCGGGAAGAAGGCCUUCGGGUUGUAAACCGCUUUUGUCAGGGAAGAAAUCUUCUGGGUUAAUACCUCGGGAGGAUGACGGUACCUGAAAAAUAAGCACCGGCUAACUACGUGCCAGCCGCCGCCGUAAGAC